ensembl:lncRNA
GCGCCCAGCUACUCAAACUGCAACAAAGAAACCACCGCGGUAGUCAUUCCGCUACGUUCUUUAGACUUGUGUGUCAUUUUUUUUAAAUAGACAUGUUUUAACACUGUACCGAUGACAUUGUCGCCAUUGGAACCGAAACCACGUUUUUUUUUGCCAAGACGAACUGACUUUAAAGAGCGUGUAGGAGGGUUAUCGCUCAUCGCAAGUUGAGGUCCCCGACGGCUGUCCCUCUCUCUCUCGUCACCGUGAUCUGAGUCACUUCAGUUGCUGGCAGAAACUCCUUCUCAAUCGUUUCAAGAACCAACUCCCAUCCACCCCUCCCUCCCUGUGGCCUCCCCACCCUCCCGCGGCCCUCCGCUCCCGGCCCCACCAAACCUUGUUUGGAAUAGUUAUGAGUCGGAUGGGAUUGUGUAAAUAGCUGUUCUGGUGACACACUGAUGCUUGUGUCAGGUGUUAUCCAAGCUAAUAAAAGUUCGGUCUGCUUGUCUAGCUCAAGAGCUAGCCAAAGAUGACCGUGUUUACAAUCUUAAAAAAGUACUAUACCAGUGUUAUUAUUAAGCCGUUCAUGGGGAUGAUGAGGAAAAGGUUUGGGUGGUUCUGAGGUUAUUCUGACAGCUACCUUCUGGGUUCACCAAAUUACGACAGGAUAUCAGCGUCUGCUAUCAUUUCAAAUUCCCCAAAGCAGUGUUUUGUCGUGUCUGGCUCAAAAUGUGUAUAUUAUCUUUAACAGUUUGCCUGGGGUCACCAUAGCAACGUGGCUGCGUCGUUCCCCGCUGCAUCGUAGCCUGCGCUAGCAACUUCCUAUCAGCCCACUACCUCAUUUCCUCUCUUAACUUCCCCAGCUGUGUUUGUGGUGUCCGACAUCUUUUGUCUAGACCGAAAGGUGUAGUUUUGAACUUGCAGUGUUGGUUUUCUCACGAGGUGAACCUCAACCCUCCGAGGCCCGUAGAGGGGCAGGCAGCACACGUCUCCUAGAAGCCUCUUGUUCGCCAGUUCAGCAAACAAAGUUCAAUGGUUGUGGUAGAAGGAACAUCUCAUGCAAUUAAUACAGUCAUGUGCAUGUUGGUACAUUCUUUCUUCACACCACUCUCUCAAAUCCUAUCAGAAAAGUAAUGUUCUUACAUUUCCGAAGGCAAGUUAAUAUAGUCUUACCUGUAGAGGGCCUGUUAAGGCUCUAUGCACAUUUCCUCACUCAUAGAUGACACAGCCUACAUACCAAACGAAAUACAGGAUAAUGAUCAGCACAUGUUAUGCACUGGGGAACAUGUUAUAGUCCUGCUGCUGAAGGAACUGCCCUGGCUGAUUACUCUGCCUUAGCUCCUUAUGCGCAUGAUAAGCAGUGGUACGCGUCGCUGCCUGGAGGCUCGUGUCAAUGUGUGAAGAUCAUGAUGUAGAUAGCACCAGAACCCAGGCACUUCACUUGGCAGCCUCCAGUGAAAUGAUGAUGGACCACUACACUACAGAACUAAACUCAAAGAAGAGCCGACGCAUGAGCAACAGCACACGUUCACACAUGCUGUGCUGUGCAGUCUUAAAGUAAAUGGGUUGAGGUGACGUCUAGGAAGGACUAGGAAGGAGGCGGCAAAGUACUGCGCUCAUCUUGGAAAUGACCGAUGCUUAAGUCGGUGUCUGUGUCUGUGUGUCUGUGUUUGUGUGUGUGUGUCUGUGUGUGUGCGCAUGCAUGUUGGUCCCAGCAUGUGACUGCAGCUGGAACGCUGUUCUGCCUCACACAGCACAAUACAAUGAAGGGCCACCUAAAGCAAUCGUGCACUUUACAGGAAAUUGGCAGCAAUUUCCCCCCCCAUCCUGAGGAUCUAUUGAUUGGGUAGGAGGAAAUCCUGAAUGUCACGUAUUUACAGGCUAUAUGCAACUAUGCUCACAGCUCUCACUACUCCUUUAGCUACAGUCCACUCCUCAGACAGGCCUGGGAAUUACACUUACCCUGUGAUAUGCAUCAGUAUGUCAAGGGGAAAGGACACACACACACACACACACACACACACACACACACACACACACACACACACACACACACACACACACACACACACACACACACACACACACACACACACACACACACACACACACAAGUGUGUAUGACAGGAAGCUAUGCACAGUUUUAAGGAAUGUGUAGAAACGGUUGUGUAGAAGUUCACAGCUUCAACUCCACUCAACCCAUCUCAUCCUGCAGUCUUAUCUCGUUUGACCGGGCCACUAUGUUGUCACUGGCUGUUUGGUUUGGCCACCACCUCUCUGCUUCCAUUAUCUCACGUCUCAUCUGAUAGGGGAGUUCACUGCUUUCCUUUGGGGCUUUUUGUGGUACUUUUUUUUCUCUCUCUCCAUCAGUGCCGAGCAAGCGCUGAGCUGCUGUACUAAUCUACAUAUAGAUGACUACAGUGUCUGAGGAGUCCCGUUUGGACUUGUGUCUGAUUUGAUACGAUGGGAUGUGUGCGUGUGUGUGUGCGUUUUUUUUACACGCAGUAACAACUGUCCAAACAGGGCUGGUCAACAUAUGUGCACAUUUUUAAUUUACCCAAAUUGGUACACUAAUGGCACGUGGUAAAUGUUAAACAAAAGUUAACAUAGUGGCCCCCUUUUUUUUUUUUUGCACCAACCGCCCUUCGUUUGGUGUCAUUAAGUUUUACUUCCCGAUGGACAAUGGUGUUCUGGCCCUGCCUCUAUAUUGUGUCUGGUCAGAGUCACGUGUUGGCGUCUGGGCCCAAGUGAAUCACCUCCUGCCUUUUAACCACGCCAGCUCCCUCACAGGUCGCCCUCAGUGCCGUGAUGCCACGGCUUCUAUCCCUUGUGGUUGCUCUCCUCUCUGACGGAUCCCUCUUCCCGUGAAACGGGCCAACUUCCAUUAGGUCAUCAGCCUUCCUGGGCCCUUUGUGUAAGGCCUGCUCAUCAGAGGGGGAGAUAUUCUCUCUCUAAACACUGUGAUUUGUAUUGUUUGUCUACAAGGGCAGGAUAGCCUAGUGUGGUGUUACUUUCUGAUACAAGUGUCUAAUAAACUCUUAAAUAUUGUGAUAACAAUAAUACUUAUCUACUUGCUUAAAGAGCCGAUUGGUGCUGUCAGUAAGGUCAUGCCAAUUUUGAAGAAUUUCUUUUUUAAAAUAACCUUUAAAUACCUUUUUAUAAUCAUCGUAGGUGAUGGAAAUGCGGGUUUAUUCUGUUUGCAGCUUGAUUUAAAACCCUGCCUUGAGUUGGCAGGCCAUCGACCUCAUUUACCCCAUAAACCAUUUAUAAUUAUAAGAUGUCAUUAAAAUUCAUAAAUCAUCAACCAGAACGGAAAAGUCUAUAGACCUUGUUGUAUCAAAACCAAGCAGUCAAACCUUUCUGACUGAAACAACGGCGUGGUCUUGCCUUCUAUCACAAUUGGCGUGUCACUUAUGUGUAAGAAAUGUCCAGCACUUUCUCUUUUUUCUAAUUUUCUUUCCAGCCCUAAUUACAGAGCUCAUGAAAGCGUUUACAAUUUCAUGAAUAUUUAAAUCUUCCAAGGGAAGUGUCAGGGGAGACCCAUGUGUGGCUUCUCUGCCCUAAUUAUGGUGGAAACACACACACACACACACACACACACACACACACACACACACACACACACACACACACACACACACACACACACACACUCAGGGAGUCCACAUUUGAUGCUGUAAAUCUCGCAAACAUGGAUGGGCUAAUAUAUGCUGACUGAGGGUAGACCCAUUUGCAAAUAUAUAUUCACACACACACACACACACACACACACACACACACACACACACACACACACACACACACACACACACACACACACACACACACUACAACAGACACACAUCUGUGAAUUGACACAUGUCUGGGUAUGCACACACACAUACACUCAGACUCCCAGCAGGCUGGCAGUAAGAGACUACAGCUGGCGGUGUCUGCAGCUGCUUCCCAAUAAACAAUAUGUCGAUGAUGGACGUCUUGGUUCAGCAUUGAGUCACAGACAGUGUGUGUGCGUGUGUGUGUGUGUGUGUGUGUGUGUUUUGGCCAGUUAACUGCUAGCAGGAUGAGGUUGCCACCAUGUAAGUUUACUCACUCAUAAUGACAUGUUGGUGGGUUAUAAGGUCUAAGGAAAUCGUGGACUGAACAUUUUACCACGUAGUCGGUAAUCUUGUAAUCAGUUUAGACGACGACACCCUUUUGAGUAUCUGUGGAUUUGUGUCGCUGUCUCAGACCUUAAACUGUUAAUACCCCAAUUAGUUUCACGGUAGAGAUCAUUUAUAGACAAACGUUGCAACGAAUCUCACAGCUACAGUUCAUUUAUGUCCCAGACAGUAGGAGGGAAACAUAAAUAGUGACUGGAAUAGAAGAAAACUGGACUGAACUGACUGCUCCUGUUCUGAGUCAGUAGGAAUGCCUUCAUUCUACAGAGGGUGACGCUCUGAACUCACUGCUUUGAGGAUAUGACUAUAGAUUAACAGGGUGUGUUCGUCCCUCCGGAAUGGGAGGGGGGGGGAUACAAGGACAGUGGAUGGUGAUGUGUCGGAACCAAGGGUGUUAAGAAGGAUGGAAAAGAAGGAGGGAAGGUAAGGAACCAGAGUGACGGCGACCAGGGCACAGGAAAGCAGGUUCAAAGAUGAAGGCAAUGAGAGGCUAAAGGUUUAUACAGGGAUAGAUGAACAAAAUAUACCACAGAUAAUGCAUUACCAAAUUCGGGGGGGGGGGUUAGACAUUUUGAUAUUUGACGGCUGGAGACCGCUUUACCAGACAGAAGAACGUCAACAGGAAGUGGCAGAGGCGCGUCUCUUCAUUCAACUUGUCGUGUUCUCCUGUCUCUCGGUGUUAUAACUGCUCCUGGUUCGUUGUCGUGGUGCUGCUGCCACCUCCUCACGGCCCCGUCUGAAGAUGUCUGGUGGGCGGGGAGAGCAGCACACAUAUUAGAGAGGAGUCGCAUCAUCUCACGGUGGCUGUGGCACACCUCGACAUGUAGCCUGGUUUGGCAGGUGUCUGGCUCUAAGGGUGGAGGGGGCUACAGAAACUUGAGAGGAGCAGGAGAAGCAGAUGCUGAGAAGGAAAUGAGAGGCAGAUAGAGGGGGAGAGAGAGAGAGAGAGAGAGAGAGAGAGAGAGAGAGAGAGAGAGAGAGAGAGAGAGAGAGAGAGAGAGAGAGAGAGAGAGAGAGAGAGAGAGAGAGACUGCGCCAAAGUUGUCAUCCCAGAGGGUGAUUUAGGAUGGGAGAAAAAAUCAAGAAAAGGUGUAAGAAAUGAGGAAAGUGGAGGAGGAGGAGGAGACCUCAAAAUAGAAUAAAAUACAAAUCCCUGUGAUGAUGAACUAUACGGCGCUCCUCUAAGCAAGGCAAUUUAUUCUUUUUAAUUGAGUGUUGGAGCUGUGGCGAGUACAACAAAGCACAUCCAAGGAGCUUGCAGAGAUCAACGGUCCCCAACCAGCCUUCCAGCAUGAGUCGAGGACACAAGGAGACCCUUAAGACCCCAGGGUGCACCCUUGACCCUCGACCCCGGGGCUGGACCCACGCUGAGGGGCGAAGAGAUGUUACCAUGUCCACACUGAGCCACCCCAGGUGAGUCCAUUUUACCGCUCUAAAGUGAAUUAUAAAGACACCACUCUUAAAGACUCUUUUUGGGCUCCAGGUCAAUUUAAACCACGUCAUUGAAAUGUAUUGAAUUUAAUUAAUUUCAGGCGAACAUUCAAUACAUUUGGUCCACGCCCAGCGUCUGUGGCUCCGUCUGUUCUGUCUCUCUCCCUGCCUGCCCCUUGUGUGUUGCUCAGUUGUCUUCCUAAUUAUACCCCUAUCCGUGUCUUGGGCCCACCUCGUGUUUCCUCGUGCUGUGACCUGAGCUGCGCCGCCGUGAAAUACCGUCCAGGUGACGCAACGCUGGUCCUCAACUACAACCAGCGUCCUCAACGGGGCUCAUGCAACAUUCACACUGUCCUAUCAAACACACACGUGCGCACACACACACGCACGCACGCACACACACGUUAGUCGGAACUGUCAUUUUAACGCUGGUUAAAUCAAGAUUUCAAGGCGUUACGUCUUACAGUGUCUGUGGAUCAGGGCAGUGACAUUUCAGUUGCUCCCGUAAGGACUAAACCUAAUCCUCGGCUUUUGUGGCAAUAAAAAGUUUGACAUAUUAAAACCUGAACCAGAUAAACUAUUGGCUAUCAGCAAAACUGAGUGCGGUACUUGAAAUGUCACAGCUUUUACAAAACAGAUAAGCCAUGGUGGAUCAGACCCAACUGUCUCAAUACAAUCUCUUAGAUUCUGUUAAAUCUAUAGAAAGUUUCCACAUCAAGCUGGUACCUAAAUUCCGGAAACAGGAAUUAGGUAAAGUACUGAGCUCUUACUGAGCUGAUAUUGAGCUGAAUGUAUGUAGUCUCAAUGUAUGUAUUCUCCCAGAAUGCUCUGGGAUUGUUUAUAUAGCUAGAUAUAUCUGUUUGGCCUAUUGGUGACCAUUAACAAGGAAUUUAAAUAAAAAAGAUUGGACAUUGAGUUCUGCGAGUACAUGCCCUAAUCUGUAUGCCGUCAGAGGUUGACAUUCAACAUUUAUAAGAAGGAAAACUUCCAGCUGAUGAGAUGUAGUACUGCCUCCCCCACUGUGUGAAUUGUUAAAACGUUGAAGCAUGACUAGAAUAGGGGGAAGGGUCAAAACAACUGACAGGUCUCAAACCAAAUAACCCUGUGUCGGCAUAGCCUACCCUGGUCCCCAAAGCUCUAGUUGGGGGUUGGGGUAGGGACCACCAGUGCAGACCCACCCAGCGAUGGGAUUUGUCCCCUGGAUGCUGCUCAGAGUCUAUACGUCUAGCAGGAGAGGUGCACGUUAACGAUACGCUUGACAUUAUUUUCUGCAGCGCUCCCAAAGGUAUUGAUGGUCUGAUUGAAUUCUAUAAAAAGUGUGUUCUGCCAGAUGCCCCUCUGGCCCGUCGACUGUAAUAGUGUGACAUUUAGACGAUUUAAGAAUCAUAAACGACGCUUUGUUGUCCUGACAGUCGGCAAUCCGUCUUUCUGUGUGUGUGUGUGUGUGUGUGUGUGUGUGUGUGUGUUUGUGUGUGUGUGUGUGUGU